rnacentral:rRNA from 1 species
GAUGAACGCUGGCGGCGUGCCUAACACAUGCAAGUCGAGCGGGAUCUUUCUAAAUGACGCUUCGGUUGAUUUUAGAAAGUGAGAGCGGCGGACGGGUGAGUAACGCGUGAGCAACCUGCCUCUUACUGGGGGAUAACGCAUCGAAAGAUGUGCUAAUACCGCGUAAGACCACAGUGCCGCAUGGCACAGGGGUCAAAGGAGCAAUCCGGUGAGAGAUGGGCUCGCGUCCGAUUAGCUAGUUGGUGAGAUAACGGCCCACCAAGGCGACGAUCAGUAGCCGACCUGAGAGGGUGACCGGCCACAUUGGGACUGAGACACGGCCCAAACUCCUACGGGAGGCAGCAGUGGGGAAUAUUGGGCAAUGGGCGAAAGCCUGACCCAGCGACGCCGCGUGAGGGAAGAAGGUCUUCGGAUUGUAAACCUCUGUUGAUAGGGAAGAAGAAAGUGACGGUACCUAUCGAGGAAGUCACGGCUAACUACGUGCCAGCAGCCG